rnacentral:lncRNA from 1 species
GGGGAGUAGUACAUACUACAGUAGAAGCAAAUUUGACUGGUUUCACCGGCCAAUUCACAUCGAGGCAACCAAAAUCAACUCUAGUGAAAUUGAUCCUGCAUGCACAACUUGCUCCUUCGGUUCCUGCAGUGUCUUCUAUGAUGUCAGUUGCCCAUCUGUACUCAGUUACCAGUGGUGUGGGACAAGUAGAAUUAAUAUAUAUAGCAGCUCCGAUUAGCAGCUCUCUAGAGCUGUUGCCCAAUUUAUCAUAUAUAGGCAACCUAAUUCUACAUCUACAUCUACUAGAAUGGGAAUGAGUACACUAUGGCAUCUAGCUAGC